rnacentral:rRNA from 1 species
CACGGAAUUAGCCGGUCCUUAUUCAUACGGUACCUGCAAAGGAGAACACGCUCACCCUUUUAUCCCCGUAUAAAAGCAGUUUACAACCCAUAGGGCCGUCAUCCUGCACGCUACUUGGCUGGUUCAGGCUCACGCCCAUUGACCAAUAUUCCUCACUGCUGCCUCCCGUAGGAGUUUGGACCGUGUCUCAGUUCCAAUGUGGGGGACCUUCCUCUCAGAACCCCUACUGAUCGUUGCCUCGGUGAGCCAUUACCUCACCGACAAGCCUAAUCAGACGCAUCCCCAUCCAUCACCAAUUAAUCUUUCAUCCAAAUUAGAUGCCUGCUUCGGAUGACAUAAGGUCUUAGGCCGACUUUCGACGGUUAUCCCUUAGUCAUGGGGUAGGUUGGAUACGCGUUACUCACCGUGCGCCGGUCGCCAUCAACGAUUGCAAGCAAUCAUCAUGCUGCCCCUGACUUGCAUGUGUUAGGCCUGUAGCUAGCGUUCAU